ACAAGAACUCCCCAGGCUCCGGUUCCCAAGGAGCCCUCCUGGCACGGAGGGGAGCCACAGAGGGACCAGACUGCUCAGGCAGCACCGGCCAGAGGGCCGACCUGCAGACUGAGGAAGAGGCUCUUGGGCGCUGGCACAUGGCGGGUGCUUGAUGCAACCUCGACCCUGCAGCUGUCGGGGUUCUCGGCCUCAUUCGCUUCACGGCAGCCACUGUUGUCACGAUAUCCGCACGGCGCCAUCCGGAUCUGGGAGGACCCCAGGAGGAUGCUGCUCUUCAGAGACGGGAAGCUUCGGUUUGUGCAGUCAGCCCUGCUUUGCUGGGGGCUUCCUGAAGGAACGUUCGCUGGAUCUGGUCACCCCUUGUCUGGAACUCCAGGGUUUUCAAAAAAGCAGAGAGGAGACUUGAUUCUAUUCUGGGCCCAGCCAUUUCAGAGACCAUGGCUGGACAGGAUCUGAGACCUCCCAUGCUCACCGGCUUCCACCCUCCCUGGAUCCCUCCCAAGUCCUAGAGGCCAGGAGUCAGAAAUGAAGCUGCCUGCAGGGCCGUGUUCCUUCCAGCCUCUGCCUCUCCCUCUCCCACCAGGAACCCCAGUCACAUGGGAUAAUGGGCCUACCCUACUCUUCAUCUUAAUGUCACCUGUUACAGCCGCAAAGACCCUAUUGCCAGGUAAGGCCACAUUCCCAGAGACCAAGAGUCAGGAUUUCAACGUAUCUUUUUGAGGGACACAACUCAGCCCAUGACAGGGUCUGAAGAGGGAGGAGCCUCCAGCGAUCGGGCCCAGAGCAGAAAUCAGAAGAGUCAGAAGGCCAAAGAGUUGGCAACCUACUGAGAGCUUACCUUCCCAUACAACAUUCUGGCACGUUUUUACCCCGAAAGACUGUCUUUUGCCCCAGUUUGGAGGCGCAGUACCAAAGGCCCCUUCUCCAUCUCUGGUUGUGGAUGGGCCAGACUCUGGUGUGAGCCUGAAACCUUAUCCUUUCACACGGGCAUAGAGAGAAAAUUCGGUUGAUGGUAGGACUAACCCACCUUGAAUGGGAACCAGAUGUCUCUGGAGAGUAGCUGCCUUGGAUACUGUCUAGUGGCCUGGUUUGAGAGCCCAGUGUCCACCUGCCACUGGAAGAAGGGCAUGUGGCCUCUUGGGUGGCCCCUGCUCCACGUGGACCCCCACUUCCUCCCCCUUACUCACGUUGUCCCCGGGCACUGGGGACGUUGCCAGCAGCAUCUGUGGGUGGACUCUGGGAAGGCCUCUGGGGUCCCCUGCUCAGUCUGGAGAGAGCGGUCUUGUGCUGGUUUCUUGCUGAGCAAGGCAGUGUCAUGUGGGGAGUGACGAUGGGACUGGACAUGGGGUUGUUUUCCGCCAGCCCUACUCCCUAAUGUGGGGAAAAGGAGUCAUGAUUUCAUUUCCAAAUAUUUUGUAUGUGGAAUGCUGAGGAAGAGACAUGGCUGGGUGUUUGGGCUUUCAGAGAAGACUUCCAGAUGCUGUGUUUGCACACCCCAGGGGACAUUAGGUUUUGUCGAGGCCAUCUGGUGCCCAGGUUCUGUCACCUCUCACCAGCCCAGCUAUGGGGAAGGGGAAGGCUCCAUUCUGCAGACAGCAGACCAAAAAGGCAGGGGCCCAAUCGUCCUGCCUCAUCUCAUUGGAUGUGGCUGUUCCUUUUGGGGUUACCCACCUUUGAUUCAAUUGGAGUUUAAGUCAGAUUAAGCAGCUUUUACUUGGAGUGGUGGGAGCUCCUCUGAGACUGGCCCCAACCCCUCACGUGUGGCAGUGAGGCAGUGAGGCCGUCUGGAGCACAGGAGCUUGGCGGGAGCUCUUGGCCCAUGAUGGCUGAGGGAGACAGAAACUAAAUGCCAAGCACCCCACGUCCAAUAUUUCGUGUGCUUCUCAUGCACCCAUUGCACAGGUGAGGUGACCCUAGCUCUGAGAGACCAAGUGAUCUACCUGGGUCACCUGCCUAGUAGGUGGCAGAGCCUCCCAGGCCCAAAGUUCCUGAAUGGAAGGAUGUCUUCUUCAGGUGGCUAACUUCCCCGUCCCUCUGAUCACAUAGUGCGUGGUGGUGGCCGAGUCCAGAUGAUCUCCGGGCAAAUGAGGUUCCUUCCCAGGGCUGAGGAUCUGAGUAGAAGCCUUCGGAGUGGAGCAUCGCCUCCUCCCUGGCUGUCUGGGGGGCGGCACGUGCGAUGCAUCUAGGUAUGGGCCAUAUUGAUGGAGGAACAGCAAACCCCAAGAUGGGCAGCCCGCCCUUGGGGUACCUGCUGGGGAAUUACUCAGAGGAAGAAA